rnacentral:rRNA from 1 species
CUUGCUCCUGGAUUCAGCGGCGGACGGGUGAGUAAUGCCUAGGAAUCUGCCUGGUAGUGGGGGAUAACGUCCGGAAACGGGCGCUAAUACCGCAUACGUCCUGAGGGAGAAAGUGGGGGAUCUUCGGACCUCACGCUAUCAGAUGAGCCUAGGUCGGAUUAGCUAGUUGGUGGGGUAAAGGCCUACCAAGGCGACGAUCCGUAACUGGUCUGAGAGGAUGAUCAGUCACACUGGAACUGAGACACGGUCCAGACUCCUACGGGAGGCAGCAGUGGGGAAUAUUGGACAAUGGGCGAAAGCCUGAUCCAGCCAUGCCGCGUGUGUGAAGAAGGUCUUCGGAUUGUAAAGCACUUUAAGUUGGGAGGAAGGGCAGUAAGUUAAUACCUUGCUGUUUUGACGUUACCAACAGAAUAAGCACCGGCUAACUUCGUGCCAGCAGCCGCGGUAAUACGAAGGGUGCAAGCGUUAAUCGGAAUUACUGGGCGUAAAGCGCGCGUAGGUGGUUCAGCAAGUUGGAUGUGAAAUCCCCGGGCUCAACCUGGGAACUGCAUCCAAAACUACUGAGCUAGAGUACGGUAGAGGGUGGUGGAAUUUCCUGUGUAGCGGUGAAAUGCGUAGAUAUAGGAAGGAACACCAGUGGCGAAGGCGACCACCUGGACUGAUACUGACACUGAGGUGCGAAAGCGUGUGGAGCACACAGGAUUAGAUACCCUGGUAGUCCACGCCGUAAACGAUGUCGACUAGCCGUUGGGAUCCUUGAGAUCUUAGUGGCGCAGCUAACGCGAUAAGUCGACCGCCUGGGGAGUACGGCCGC